UGUUCCCACAAGGAGUUAUACCUAUUGUUUUUUGUGCUAACUUUACUUAAUAAUAGAACAUAGGUAGAAUAUUAAAGUUAAAAAUAAUCAUAGUGAAAUGUUACAGAAAGCACGUCUCAUUAUUUUCCAUGGACUGGAGAAAUGAUGGCUACAAAGCAAAAGGAAAAAUGAAAACUGUGUAUGAAGAAUGUUUGCUGGACAGAUUUUAUCGAUAGACGCUACGAGUAUUACAGGUACAUGUUGAAGAUGAGAACUUGGCUGAGCUAGAAGUGCCCUAGCCUCUUGGAAAUAAAAUGUAUGAUGGAACCCGAUGUAUAUGCACACAUUGUCAUAGUACAUUCAUAUCAUAUUUGUGAUGUUUUGAUUAUGUAUUUUGUAUAGAUGAUAUUGAUGCAUAAUUUUCUCUAUUACUAUGUUUAGAUGAUAUCUAUAAUUGUAUUUUAGAUAAAUAAUGAUUCCUUAAUACUCCAACCAUGGAGUUCUAUUCAUUCUCACUGGAUUCUUACUUGCUACCCAAGAUUCUUUGAUGUUUUCAUCUUCUUCAUACAACCCUCCCAUUGAAUCAAAACCAAGAAAAAAUUCUCUCAACUCAUUCAACAACAAACAUCUCCUACUUAAUGCAUCAACAACUCUAUUUGAUUUCCCACUUCUAUGUUUUACACCAAAUGAAUCACUAUGAAGAAAUUCAAUCCACUUCAUAUGUCUUUGAUUUAACUUACCUUAACUAUUUAUGAAUUGCAAUGUGUGGUGAUUUGUGUACAACACACACUCCUUUGGUAGCAAGUAGUGUCUCCAUUUCUUGAGUGCUUGCACAAUCGCAUAGAACUCUUGAUCAUACACAUAGUACUUUAUUUUUGUUUCACUUAUCUUUUUGCUAUUUAUUAAGCUAUUAGUUUUCACUUAGAAAUUUCCCCCUAUUGUUGUCCCAAUUGAAUCACAAUCAACUUGGAAUGCUUUCCCAAAAUUAGGAAGUGCUAACAUGGGUUGCUCUAUCACUUCUGCCUUCAAAAUAUUGAAAAUUAUCUCUCUUGCUGCUACCCAAAUAAAUUCCUUCCAAUUACCCUUCAUAGUUUUUGUAAUAGGAGCACAAAUACCACUAAAAUUCCUAAUGAAAGUAUUGUAGAAGCUUGCUAAUUUAUGGAAGCUUCUUGCUUCAAACAUACUCUUUGACGAAGGCCAAUCCACAAUUGUUUUUACCCUUCUUGGAUCCAUUUUUAACCCACUUCUAGAAACAACAAACCCCAUAUAAAAUAAAUCUUCCUUCAUGAAGCUAGAAUUUUUCAAAUUCACCAACAACUCCUCUUUCUCAAGUGAUCUUAUUUUGUUUUACUAAAUAUCAAAAUAUCAUCUAAAUACACAAUUACAAACUUACCACUAUAUGACUUUAGGACUUCAUUCAUCAAUAUCAUGCAAGUGCUCAAAGAAUUUAUCAAUCCAAAUGACAUCACAAACCAUUCGUACAACCCAUCCUUGGUUUUGAAUGUAUCUUUCAAUUCAUCUCCCUCUAGAUUAUUCUUAUUGAUGAUAAAUACUCUUCAAAUCAACUUUUGUGAAGUAUCUAGCCCCACUCAAGCAAUCUAGCAUAUCAUCCAUUGUGGUAAUGAAAAUCAAUAUUUGAUUGUUAUCUUGCUCAUUUCUCUAGAAUCCAUACGCAUUUGUUAUUCCCCAUUAUUUUUGGGUGCUAAUACUAUUGGAACAACACACAAACUCAAGCUUUCUCUAAUCAAUCCCUUGUCAAGUAACUCUUGCACUUUUAUAUUUAUCUCUUCAUUAUCCUUAGGAAACAUUCUAUAUGGUACCUUGUUUGGAAAACUUGUACUAGGAAUCAAAUCCAUGCAAAAGACUAUGCUCCUCACGAGUAGAAAUCCAUCACGUAACUUCAUCAAUAUAUCAACAUAGUCCUUAAAAAAAUUGAACUUUCAUUAGUAUUUCCUCAUCUUUCUUCUUUACCCCUACUGUUGCAAGCUUGCAAACAAUUACAAAACAUACUUUCUCUUUUUUCAACUCUUUUAUAAAUUUCUUUUCAAAAAUCAAACACACCUUUAUUAUCCCAAAACCAUGACCCUGUUCCACUUCUCGACCUCUUUGUUUGUAGAUUUUGCUUGCAGCUAUGAAUUUGCCUAGCUACGAGGGUCAUGGGUUUUUUAUGGACUAAGGUGCAAGCCAAAAAGAUUGGGGCACCAUGCUUAUUAAACCUCCUUCUUCAUGUCGUGCUCCCCUCUCCUCAUUACUAUUGUCGUAAAAAUGGAUGUGUUUCCCUUAACACCCUCUCCAACUUUUCUUGUACAACUCUCGUAGUCUCUUGUUUUUUUUUUUUUAAUUUUAUCUUCAACUUCAUUCCCUUAGUGUUUAUUUUCACAUUAUUUUGUUUUGUUUUUCUUUAUCUUAUUUUAAAUUAUAAUAAUCAAUUAUUUUAUUUUUAUUUUUAUUCUUAUUUCAUUUCCACAAGGUAUGGCUUGGGGUUUAAGUUGAGUAACACUCUUAUUUAUUUAUUUUACAAGGGAAUGAAAUAGUUAAUUGACCUACUAACAAGAUGGAAUAACUCGUCUUAGAUUCGACAUUACUAACAAUUAUAGAUAGACCUUGCCUAGGAUUGAAGCAUCUAGAGUGACUUGACCUUCACUAAUUUAACUAGGUUAUUUUGUUUGAGGUUCGUUCCAAGAAUAGGUUACUAGGUCUACCUUGUUGCAUCCCGAGCACUUGCAAAACCAUCUAAUACUCAUACACACACCAUAUAAAUGUUAGCACCAAACUAGUUCGAUAAACAUAACAUAUAAAUAACAAUACAACCAUGUCAUAAAUAAAAUGCAAACAUUAAAUUUAUGAUUCCUAAAUUACAAUUAUACUAUUUGACCUUUAUGUAGUAAGUUCCUAACAUGUACACCAUUAUAUUCAUGUCUAUAUCAAAAUAAAAGUGUUAUCUCACUCUAAACCUUAGAAUUUUUGCCUUUGUCCAAAUUACAUGUGGACGACAAGUGACUAACAAAAUAAAAAAGGUAGUCUAUGGGGAUGCGAUAUUAUGGUGCGGGCCAUCUCCCUUGUUAAUUUUGGGAUUUUUGGGAAGUAGACGACGGAUUCGUAGCUUUCCCUGCAAUCAAAUGGAAAAUAUUAUACUUUGAAAAGACGUCUCUUGCUUAUAUUUUCAAUAUUUUAAAAAUAUGAUACAAUUACAAACAUGCUCGUAAAUAAAUUAAAUAAAAAAUUAUUAUAUUCUCUUUCAUAAAAAUGAUAGAUCACAGAAUAUGAUUAGCAACAUUGAUACAAAUAUAUACACAAUCAUAUUCGAAAACAUAGUGAUAACUAGUGUGUUAAAAAAGGUUAUUACUUACUUGUGUGUUGACCCGUUUACAUGGUCCACUCCAACGUUUUUCUUCCUCUGUGGUUAUUAUACCCUUUCCCAUCAUAGUAAAGCUUUCACGUUCCACAACUUGCGACCACUUAUUAAUGUUCUUAUCGCUGACUCGAUUUUGGCGUGCAGCUGUUAUUCCAUCCACCUGCAAGUGCAAACGAAAAAACAUUUGUUUAAUAUUAAUACAUAAAUAGCAUUAAAUAAAAUUAGAUUAUAACACGAAAUAAAAUCAGAUUAUAAAAAUUCUCUAGAAGCUCGGGAAUCGCGAUGGCCGCUCCCGCUCGCAUCUGUGAAUUCAAAACAAGAUCUCCCGCCCGUUCCCACCUUCGACUUUGAUUUCAGAUCAGGAUUUCUUGCUUUUAGCUGAGGGUUUCGAAACUUCAACAUGCGCCAGAGAUCCUGGCACAUUUGAACGACCCUACGAGAUUUCUUCAGGGGAAUAAUGGGUUCUCAGAUCUGGGUGAUGGGUUUGUGCACGGGGUCUCCCCUUCUCACGGAUCUUGUGCAGAUGCACUCAACAAGAACUUUUCUGCAAGUGCCUUCCGUCCUAUUUUAGUUAUUGCUGAAGAGGUGCAGGGGGUGAAGGGUUUUUCGCUUGGGAAUACCAUGGAUGUCCGAAGAAAGCCUCUUCUUGUGCUACGGCUGCUCCUGUGGUGCUUUUGAGGUAAGAUGUGAGCGAUUGCGAGAUUUUUUUUCAUGACUAAGGGUUUGAUUUGAAGAUCGGGCCGACAAUAGUCUUCUCUUUCAGAUUUGCAUCCAUAGAUCGCUUUCAGCUCUUCUGGUUGAGGGUAAGGGCAGGAAUCUCACUUGUAAUCUUGUUAUUUGAGAGAUCCACAAUCAGCAGAUGGCAUAUAGAAGGUGGAAUGCUACGAUUAAGAUAAAUUCGAGAGAAAGUCAGAGGAUAAAGAAAAUAAAUUCACCAAUUUCUGCUGGAAUGGAUCCACUGAGUUGAUUCGCUGACACGUCCAAAACAACCAGGUGAUCCGAAAGAAGCGGAAGCUGACCUUGUAAAUUAUUGCUAUGCAAAUCCAGAAUACAGUCUCUGAACAGGAAAUUGCUCUUGGAAACAUUGAGGCCUCCAGGAAGAAUUUAAAGUUAGAAUUCUAAAUUCAAAAGAUCAAGCACCAAGUGGCCCUACUUCUCGAGAAAAGGAUGCUCUGUAUUGCUCAAGGUCUAAGGUCUUUCAUUUUGGAUUAGCAUCUCAGCUAUUUGAUUUUCUCCUAGCUGUGCUAUGGCCGGUUGUCCUCUUAUAAAGUUGUUUCUUAUGUAAGGCUAUUGCAUGGUAUUGUUUAGCUUGUUCCAGUUGGUUAUUGUUUGUAUUGCUACUAUGAUAGCAUCAAGAUGUUGUUGUUAGGCGCUAUU